rnacentral:rRNA from 1 species
AAUGAACGCUGGCGGCGCGCCUAAUACAUGCAAGUCGAGCGAGAAGACGUAGCAAUACGUUUGUAAAGCGGCGAACGGGUGAGGAAUACAUGGGUAACCUACCCUAGAGUGGGGAAUAACUAGCCGAAAGGUUAGCUAAUACCGCGUACGCUCCUUGGACUUCGGUUCAGGGAGGAAAGCGAUGCCGAGGGUAUCGCGCUCUUGGAUGGGCUCAUGUCCUAUCAGCUUGUUGGNGAGGUAACGGCUCACCAAGGCUUCGACGGGUAGCUGGUCUGAGAGGACGAUCAGCCACACUGGCACUGCGACACGGGCCAGACUCCUACGGGAGGCAGCAGUAAGGAAUAUUGCGCAAUGGGCGAAAGCCUGACGCAGCGACGCCGC